ensembl:lncRNA
GUGCCUUUUUCCAUUGCUUCACAGCCCUCAUUCCGUAAUCACAGUGGUGUCACCACCCCUUGUUCCAGCAGUGUGAGCUAGGACAAGGUUUCAGACAUUGCAAGCUAUCAUAUUUUACAAGAGUGUUUUGUGUGUUCAUGAUCCAGCUGGUAGUUUCUGUGGUAUAUGGACAGGCAGAGUUGCAGGCCUGCCUGAGCACAUGAGCAAGGAUCUGGGCAGAUCUUCCAUGCAAAGAAAUUCAGUAAUCAAAGCUGAUGGGCUGUGAGUGAUUGCUGUAAACGAGCAAAUAUCCCCUUCCUGUUCCUGGCAGGAAAACAUUCAUAGGUGCUUACCUUGUCCUGUACAUACAAAUGAGCAAAACAAAGCAGAACUGCCCAUGAGUGUUCUGAUAAACUGAAUAGUUUUGAACUCUAAAUAGAUCUGAUCUAGUUAAUCAUUAUUGUCGGUAUCCAAGGAGGAAUGAUAAAGACAGGAAGUAUGUGUAGAAUUCUACAGCAAAGCAAGUAUAAAAGGGUGGAAGAGAAGAAGGCUGAAGGGAUCAACAAAAGCCUGCAUGCCACGCUUAUGAAAAUCUGCACCAAUGGAGGUGACCCACUGCCGCUGCUGCUACUGCUGAAAUGCACCACCCAUCACCUCACUGUUCUCACUUCCACUGUUUGGUCUCCGUAACACGCAACAAGUAUCAGUGAAUGUCAGUGGGUGACAUUUUUUCCACAUGCAGGAAUUCAGUGACAUAACCUUGCUCCAUUGGCACUUCCAUGCCAGACACCAUUCUAUCAGACUGCCCCUCUGCUGCCAUCUAUUACAGGGCAACAAAAUGUAAUGGAAUACUGGUGGGAAGGUCCAACCUCUAUUGUGGUACCACUGCCUCUGACAUCAUGGGCCGACAUUAUAAUUUUGGGCGCAUUACUUUCAGAGCCACCCUUGUACUAGGCUCAACAAGUCUUCUGCUCAUACGUCUCUUGGAAGAAAACAAUUUAUGUUUAGGAGACGCGACCAAAAGUGGCAGCAAUUGUCUUGGAGACUGGAUUUUGGAGCUGUUAAAAACAUUUCAAUCAUCUGUAAAUUACUUGAGAAGUUGAAGUAAUCAAUUCAAUAAUAGUAGGUGCUGGCAGUGCUCUUGGCUUUGUUUUUGCACUGUUUUGGGGUAGGUGUGGAGAAGAGGGGAUAUCACACACUGAGGAACCACUAAGACCCUGUCUGCUGUAUGCAGCUCUGUAUUUCCCCUGAUGAUUGUGCAUGAACCUCAAACUGACUCCAGAAAAUUACAACUGCAGCUCAUCAGUUAAACUCAGUUUCCUGCCAUGACAAAGAACUGAACAGUCAUAACCAAAGGAAGAAAAAUUUGAGCUAUUUUGGGACAAGAAAAAGGCAAUGUGGCUUUUUUAAUGAGAAAGGCAUCUUCCAGUGAAGGAAACAGACUUUUGUGACAGAGCUGUGGAGCUGCUGUUUCUCUGGCAGACAGUUUCAGGCUGCAUUCCUGUUUAAUUGGCAUCAAGCCCAGCAUCAAGCCCAUCUUCAGAGCUACACUUUCCUCUGAGUUUUAAUUUGUACUUAAAAACUAUGCUCCAGUGGCUGAACUUCAUAUUCCCUCACCUACUGCUUUUUCUCUCAGAAAGAAACUGCACUCACUCAGGUGCCAUCACCAGGCUGUUCCUCACCACGUCUCCUCUGCUUCACUGCCGGCACUGCACCUGAGGGGACACACCCAGUCUACAAGCAAUCAGACAAUUGACACAGAGGUGGUUUAAGUUUAACACAGAAGCUUACUAGGCACAUGAA